UACGAAGGGUGCAAGCGUUACUCGGAAUUACUGGGCGUAAAGCGUGCGUAGGUGGUUUGUUAAGUCUGAUGUGAAAGCCCUGGGCUCAACCUGGGAAUUGCAUUGGAUACUGGCAGGCUAGAGUGCGGUAGAGGGUAGUGGAAUUCCCGGUGUAGCAGUGAAAUGCGUAGAGAUCGGGAGGAACACCAGUGGCGAAGGCGACUACCUGGACCAGCACUGACACUGAGGCACGAAAGCUAGGGGAGCAAACAGG
rnacentral:rRNA from 1 species